ensembl:snoRNA SNORA74 Small nucleolar RNA SNORA74
CCCAGCAGUUGUCAGCUGUCUGGCACUUAUCCAUGCCUGUUAUGGUGUUACACUGCUGGUAGAUAAAGUCACUGCCCCUUAUGCCAAGUGCCACUGUUACUGUUCUGGUUACAUGUCACUUGCAUUGGGCAGUGCCAGGCUUCCUCGAGAGUGCGCUGAACAUUGGUUUUAAAUGUUAGUGCUAGUCUGGAAGCACACAUG